UACGAAGGGGGCUAGCGUUGCUCGGAAUCACUGGGCGUAAAGCGCACGUAGGCGGGCUCUUAAGUCGGUGGUGAAAUCCUGGAGCUCAACUCCAGAACUGCCUUCGAUACUGAGAGUCUCGAGUCCGAGAGAGGUGAGUGGAACUGCGAGUGUAGAGGUGAAAUUCGUAGAUAUUCGGAAGAACACCAGUGGCGAAGGCGGCUCACUGGCCCGGUACUGACGCUGAGGUGCGAAAGCGUGGGGAGCAAACAGG
rnacentral:rRNA from 1 species